UUUUGUCCUGUUACCCGUCAAAAUGUUUGGCGUCCCUGAUUUUCGAAUUUGCUAUCGUCUUCUCCGAGAAUAAAACGUGAGCGGAGCAGACUGUGUUCUUUGAAGAGAGACAGAAAUGGACGUGAAACAAGCUGGCUCUUCUCUGGACUCUCUGAUUUCCUCAUUCAACACUCGAAUAGUGGAGCUCCAGCAAUUCGUAAUUGCCCGCAACAUGUACCCAGCAAGCAGCAUCAGUGAUUUAUCAGAAAUCGACUCCGCCGUGAAGGGAAUGGAGCUCCAGGUGCAAAAAAUCAAAGAUAGAUUGCGAGAAGAAACACAAGCCCUUCCCAAAGCUAAAGAUUGAUUGAGAGAUGUAUUUGUUCGAACAACAGAAGUUAAUAGAGGCCUCAUUGCGGUAGCAAAUGAAGUUGAAGAGUAUGUCAGCCUCUGUUCCAUCCUACUUGCCUGAAAUAGCAACCAGCAUUAUUCAUGAUACAAGUGCAAGCGUGAAACAAGC